CUCAAACCAAGGCUAAUUAUCUGCUAAUUAUCUAUAGGCUAUGAUUUAACUUGUCAAUUUCAAAAGAUUUUUUUAGCAAGUUGUAUUUUCUAACAACAGUUUGAAUUGUGGUGUGUUCCGCUUCCUUACUAAUUCACAUAUAAGUAGCCCAUUUCGCUGUUGCUGACAAUUUACAUUUGAGCAUAGUGAGCAGGACAAAAUUCUCUCUACGACAAGAGCCCAAGGACAAACUUUUUCCUCCCUGGCACAUGCAACGCCUUCACAACUAAUAAUAACUUUGUACAUGUGUGUUCCUAUCAAAUGUAACAGUGUAGGUUCCGUCCCUCUCUUCGCCCCAACCUGGGCUCGAACCAGGGACCCUUGCACACAUCAACAACUGACACCCACGAAGCAUCGUUACCCAUCGCGCCACAAAAGCCACGGCCCUUGCAACGCAAGGGGAAACCCUACUUCAAGUCUCAGAGCGAGUGACGUCACCGAUUGAAACGCUAUUAGCGCGCACCACCGCUAACUAACUAGCCAUUUCACAUCGGUUACACCAGCAAGAAAACAAAAAAUGCCGCUCAAACAGCCGGGAGAAAUAAUAAAGAGUCACAUACCAACAACCCAAAUGAAACAGAUGGGGUUUUAGGAGGGGUUCUGAAACACACUCAUGGGGUUGUCCACUGAAAGUUGACUAGCAACAACUGGAACCUAAAAUACACCCACCAUGAACACCCACAAAAUGUGCCCAAUAAGAGGCAAACAAAAUAAAAACCCACACCAAACUUAAAGACAAGAAACAAACCAAAAACGUGGCACAACAUUACAUCAAAUAAAGGAUUCUUUGUCUAGAAAUCAAAGUAGGGAAAAACAACUAAAGGUGUUAACCCUCCAAAUCUAUCAAGACAAGUGGAGCACUGGGCCAGCCACCCUUAAAUAGCACCUGGGCCAGUGGCGAUUUUAGCAUGUAAAUCUUGGUGGGCAAACUACCCACAUUUUUUGGGGAUGCAUGCCAGCAAAGUCACUACACAACACUAAACAAUGCAUUAAUUGGACUAUAACAGUGACAAACGGUGCCCACAAACUGUUAGGGCCCAAAUAAAGCUGUACCAACAGAAGAGUCCCAACAGCAGUCCCAACAUCUUAACACUGUUACACCUGGCUAUCAGCUGAGCCUUGUCUGGCAGCGAAAAAGAUUCAGCCUCAUUUACUGGCUUAAAAAAAAAACAUAGCUGAUAUGGCUGACUUGCUUAAAAUGUGGUUUCUAAUGACAACUGAGAUGUACAAACUAUGGCAUAAGGGGACGAUGAGCGGAUAAGCGGCAAUCCGUAAUUUUGAUUAAGCCAUUAGUGAGCGAGCUAGGACAGAUGUAGUCAAUAUAACUAUUUGUUCAGCGACAGAAUUCAGAACAUGGGCCAUUCUUACAGUAUUCUCUCUGUACACCAAGUCAAAACCAUAGGAUAAAUAAAGGGGGCAUAUAAGCAGACAAUUAAAUCUCUUAUAAUAUUCGAUGAUGGCAUUUCUCCAAAACAGGCUAUAGGCUACAUGUGCA
rnacentral:lncRNA from 1 species